rnacentral:lncRNA from 1 species
GCAUAGGACAACUGUAGAUACACAUAGAAACACAGUUUUUCUAAAUGUGAGACUUAAGCUUGUGAUGUGGAACAGGAAGUGUUACUUGGAAUUAUAGAAGCUAAUCAAUGGAAUAUACAAUUUUGAAGUUACAAGGAUUUGAAUCUUCAAACUCCUUUAGAUAAUUUUUAGAAUUGUUUUUAUUAUUUAGGAUGUGUGAAGAGGUUGCCCAUUUGACAAAAUAUCCAUUAAAUCAGAGGUUUAAACAACUUUUUAGAGUGUGAUAGUAGAGAUGUUUUUAGAUAAUAUUGAAAUUUCAUAGUAAGUUUAUAGAGGGUUUUUGGUCCAUGAGCUUCUAAGCAUAUUUUAUCAGUUCUUAGAGCAUGAAUGCAAUGAAGAAAGUAAGUAGUCUUGAAGAUUAUUUAAGUAAGUUGUUAGAUUUUUUGAGUGCCCACCAGGAAUAUAUACCAGUGAUCUUUGGAUCCUCAGCCAAAGAAAGAAAUCAAAGUUAGUUCAACGUCAGCCUUGUUAACUUGAAUCUUCCUAUUUUUGCAUUAAAAAAUGUUGAAGAGACCCUGGAAACUUCAUAUUUGAAGAAUUACCCCGCAGCCAUUUUUUUCUAAUUAUAAAAUCUAUUAGUAUUGUGUAUGAAUAUAACAUUUCUUAGUGUAAGUAUACUCUUUAAUAGGUGUUUUCAUCAAUUGCUUUACUUUUUCGAAGGCUAGACUUAGUGCAUAUUUAGUAUAUUUAUGUACAAAUAAUUCUUAUUUAUCAGAACAUUCUCAUCCAGUGGACUAGAUGUCUAUACUCUGUAUACCUCAAUUUAAAGGAAAUAUCACUUAAGAAAAUUUUGUUUUCUGUAGAUUGAGACGUGAUGACUUUGAGAAGUAAUUCAAUUAAUCAAAAAGCACAUAAAGCUUUAAAAGUACGCCUAUUGCAAAAAGAUGCUCUGUCAUCUUAGAAAAAUGCACAUUAAAUUCAUUCAAGUCCGGAGUGUUCAAACACUUCCUGAGGAUCUCUUUGAGCUAAGGCCUGAGCCUUGGAAAACAGCCACACUCAGGAACUGGUGGAGGAAGAGGAGCCAUCAAGGAAGCGGCCAUAGAAACCAUAGAAAGUGUCAAGAUGGUGACGAACGUCAAAUGCAGUAGAACGGUUAAGUUGGAUGAAAAGAAAAAGCUAUUGAUUUUGGCAAUAAAGAUGUCUCUACUGAUCUUUGUAA